rnacentral:lncRNA from 1 species
AUAGCAUUUGGCAGUUACCCCGGACAAUUCAUCUGCCACCAUGAAGAAAAAAUAAUCAAUUAAUGAUAUUUAUGAAGGAUAAUUGGUGAUCUUAGAUUUACAAGCUACUAUCCACUAAUAUUUAGAACACUUUUUGAUUCCUCAUCUACAAUGAUUGUUCCUCUUUUUUGUGUGUCGGAACAAAUUGUCUACGAGGAUAAUAAUAUUUGCUAUAAGAUUCGGGUAGAAUAUUUGUGGAAUGAUACACUAUACAGUGUAGAUCGAUUAUGCCAACCCAAGAUUGAGAAUAACCAUCAACAAAUAACAAUAGGAAAGAGAUGUUGGAAAAAAAAAAUUAGAGAGAGAAAAAUUUCUAGAGAGAAUAAAAUUUUUAAUGAAAAAUAGAAGCCCAAAACUUCUCUCUCCUAUAGGACUUCACACAAUGAAAAUGCCUCCCACUCUCCCUCUCUCUUUUUCUUCCCUUCCCACUCUCUGUCUCUUUCUUUCCCUAUUUCUUUUUCGCUCACACAAGAUGCCAUAAAAGAAAAUCUCUCCCUUUGUCAAAGGACACUACCUACUCUCUCAAAAAAGCAUCCCACAUCUACUAUUCUAAGAUGCUACACCAAAAUAAAAAUCUCUCUGACUCUUCAUGUAGCUUUUUUCCUCUAUUUUGAAACUACACUCUUUCUCUCAUUGAAAGACAAAAACAUCAUCAGCUUCUACUAAAAAACAAAAGCAUCAAUAUCCCACUCUAACUAAAAAUAGACUCAAAUAUAUUAAGCCAAAAACUAAAC